AAAUUGAAGAGUUUGAUCAUGGCUCAGAUUGAACGCUGGCGGCAGGCCUAACACAUGCAAGUCGAGCGGAAACGACAYUAACAAUCCUUCGGGUGCGUUAAUGGGCGUCGAGCGGCGGACGGGUGAGUAAUGCCUAGGAAAUUGCCUUGAUGUGGGGGAUAACCAUUGGAAACGAUGGCUAAUACCGCAUGAUGCCUACGGGCCAAAGAGGGGGACCUUCGGGCCUCUCGCGUCAAGAUAUGCCUAGGUGGGAUUAGCUAGUUGGUGAGGUAAUGGCUCACCAAGGCGACGAUCCCUAGCUGGUCUGAGAGGAUGAUCAGCCACACUGGAACUGAGACACGGUCCAGACUCCUACGGGAGGCAGCAGUGGGGAAUA
rnacentral:rRNA from 1 species